rnacentral:rRNA from 1 species
UACGAAGGGGGCUAGCGUUGCUCGGAAUUACUGGGCGUAAAGCGCGUGUAGGCGGCUAUGCAAGUCGGGCGUGAAAUCCCUCGGCUCAACCGAGGAAGUGCACUCGAAACUGCGUAGCUAGAGUCUCGGAGAGGAAGGUGGAAUACUUGGUGUAGAGGUGAAAUUCGUAGAUAUCAAGUGGAACACCGGUGGCGAAGGCGGCCUUCUGGACGAUGACUGACGCUGAGACGCGAAAGCGUGGGGAGCAAACAGG